UAACUAUGAAGUUACAUGUCUCAAGGGGUGGCUGUUGUCAGCAGUACAGUAGUUGGAAUUUGUUACCCUACUAACAUCUCCGUGUGUUCCUUUCUUAGUGCCCGAACAUGCUGACAUGCUGGAGAAAACCUUGCUUCAGUUAAGUAGGAAAGAAUUCUUGUUAAAUAUGUUUUGAUAGAAAGUGGUAAUAAACAGUUCCAUUUUUCUGUGAGGAAAAAAAUAUAAAGUUAAAAUUACUACAACUACAGGUUGAGCAUGUACCCCCUUAUUUGAAAAAUAGGCGAUAUCAGUAAGGAGCAAACCAGGUGAUUGAAAUGAAGUAGCACAUGAGCCUUUUAGAUCCAACAUGCAUGUAGACGGCUGCAGGAAAAAAAAAAAAAAAGCUGAUCUGAAAUAGUAGAUGGGAUGGGUCAGAGGUCAUCUUGAUAAGUUUCAAAGGGAAAAAAUGACCUUUCUUUAAAUUGUUGGCGAAUAGUUCUUCAAAAGAAACAGGGGGCUGGGUGUUCAAAUGUGUCCUUUGUUCUUUGAUCCUGCAGUUGAUCUGGAAGAUGAAAACCUCAUCAUAACAAAAUGGAUGUCAAUUUAAAUAAUGUCUAGUCUGGAUAACAAAACCCCAUCAAAGGAAGAAGAGAGGGGAAAGGAAAUGAUACUCACAUAGCACAAAGUGAUUCUGAGAACCAAGGAAAUCAUUUCCUCCUGGUACAAACGCAAAAGUGAGAAUUUCCUAGAUGGACCCCAGGACACAGAAUAUAAAAGAACAAUCAUAAACUUCAUCAAAGAAUUCAAGAAGUUUAAGGAAGACACUAAGAAACAGCUCAAUGAAUUCAAGGAGAAAGCGCAAAAUGAGAAUAAAUCUGAGAAAUGGCUAAGAAAAUACAAAGAUAAGGCUAAUGGAAAUGAUGAAGCAACCCAAGAUUUGAGAAUGGAAUUCAAUUAGUAGCUAGAAACAUUAAGGAGGACUCAUGCUGAAAUGAAGAU